UUCCCCUUUCUGCUGCCCAGGGACAAGUCAGAACCAACAUGUUCAGUUCUCAGUUUCUGCCCCUUCAGAUCUUUUGACUGACAACUCUUGCUCUCACAGUCUUCGCUACCAGGGCUUCAUUUAUUAUUGCCUGCAGGUUGGGG